GACGAACGCUGGCGGCGUGCUUAACACAUGCAAGUCGAACGGUGAACUCCGCUUGCGGGGGGAUCAGUGGCGAACGGGUGAGUAACACGUGGGCAACCUGCCCUCAGCUCUGGGAUAACUCCAAGAAAUUGGGGCUAAUACCGGAUAUGACCGCUGACCGCAUGGUCUGGUGGUGGAAAGAUUUAUCGGCUGGGGAUGGGCCCGCGGCCUAUCAGCUUGGUGGUGGGGUAGUGGCCUACCAAGGCGACGACGGGUAGCCGGCCUGAGAGGGUGACCGGCCACACUGGGACUGAGACACGGCCCAGACUCCUACGGGAGGCAGCAGUGGGGAAUAUUGCGCAAUGGGCGAAAGCCUGACGCAGCGACGCCGCGUGGGGGAUGACGGCCUUCGGGUUGUAAACCUCUUUCAGCAGGGACGAAGCGAAAGUGACGGUACCUGCAGAAGAAGCACCGGCCAACUACGUG
rnacentral:rRNA from 1 species